GUGGGACCGGUCGCGCUUGGUGGGCUCGCUGGCAUCCUCAACCUCUUCUAUCUGGCUGCGCCGGGGCUCAGCGGCAGCGUGGCGGGCACUGGGGCUGGCUGGGUUCUCCAUUUCUGCUAAUGGUGCCUGGUCUGCCGGGGGGUCUCCCACUGCUGCCGGGGGGUCUUCUGCUGUCGGAGGGUUCUCCAGUGCCGCUGGUGGGAUUUUGACAGCUG
rnacentral:lncRNA from 1 species